rnacentral:rRNA from 1 species
ACGGGUGAGUAAUGUCUGGGAAACUGCCUGAUGGAGGGGGAUAACUACUGGAAACGGUAGCUGAUACCGCAUAACGUCGCAAGACCAAAGAGGGGGACCUUCGGGCCUCUUGCCAUCGGAUGUGCCCAGAUGGGAUUAGCUAGUAGGUGGGGUAACGGCUCACCUAGGCGACGAUCCCUAGCUGGUCUGAGAGGAUGACCAGCCACACUGGAACUGAGACACGGUCCAGACUCCUACGGGAGGCAGCAUG